rnacentral:ncRNA from 2 species
AAGCGCAAGUAAAGAUAAACUCAUAUAUUCCUGAUAAUACGGUUCAGGAGUUUCUACAGGUUUCCGUAAAAAACCUACUAUGAGCGGAAUACAUCCUCUG